rnacentral:rRNA from 1 species
GAUGAACGCUGGCGGCGUGCCUAAUACAUGCAAGUCGAGCGAACAGAUGAGGAGCUUGCUCCUCUGACGUUAGCGGCGGACGGGUGAGUAACACGUGGAUAACCUACCUAUAAGACUGGGAUAACUUCGGGAAACCGGAGCUAAUACCGGAUAAUAUAUUGAACCGCAUGGUUCAAUAGUGAAAGACGGUUUUGCUGUCACUUAUAGAUGGAUCCGCGCCGCAUUAGCUAGUUGGUAAGGUAACGGCUUACCAAGGCAACGAUGCGUAGCCGACCUGAGAGGGUGAUCGGCCACACUGGAACUGAGACACGGUCCAGACUCCUACGGGAGGCAGCAGUAGGGAAUCUUCCGCAAUGGGCGAAAGCCUGACGGAGCAACGCCGCGUGAGUGAUGAAGGUCUUCGGAUCAUAAAACUCUGUUAUUAGGGAAGAACAAAUGUGUAAGUAACUAUGCACGUCUUGACGGUACCUAAUCAGAAAGCCACGGCUAACUACGUG